rnacentral:rRNA from 1 species
CCUACGGGUGGCAGCAGUGGGGAAUAUUGGACAAUGGGCGAAAGCCUGAUCCAGCCAUGCCGCGUGUGUGAAGAAGGCCUUCGGGUUGUAAAGCACUUUCAGUGGGGAAGAAAGCCUUGGGGCUAAUACCCUCGAGGAAGGACAUCACCCACAGAAGAAGCACCGGCUAACUCCGUGCCAGCAGCCGCGGUAAUACGGGAGGGUGCGAGCGUUAAUCGGAAUUACUGGGCGUAAAGCGCGCGUAGGCGGUCUGAUAAGCCGGUUGUGAAAGCCCCGGGCUCAACCUGGGAACGGCAUCCGGAACUGUCAGGCUAGAGUGCAGGAGAGGAAGGUAGAAUUCCCGGUGUAGCGGUGAAAUGCGUAGAGAUCGGGAGGAAUACCAGUGGCGAAGGCGGCCUUCUGGACUGACACUGACGCUGAGGUGCGAAAGCGUGGGUAGCAAACAGGAUUAGAUACCCCUGUAGUC